GGGGUGGGGUGGGGGGUGGGCAGAGUCACUGGUCACGCAGUCCAGACUUUUGUUACGAUAGAAAUCAUUACAAGCCAUAUAGAAAUAAAAGCACAAUUAACAUGGACUUUCUGAGGUAAAGAGCCAUUUGACAAUGGAACGGACUUCACAAAGUGGUGGACUCUUCUUCCUAGGGGGGUUUUAAACAGAGGUUGGACGGCCAUCUUGUCAGCAGGGCUGGCACCUGAGGCGAACCAAAAAAACUCUCCCCCACCCCUGCAAGAGAAGAAGGGUUGAGUGAAGAUCUACAUCAAGAAUGGGGCCACAGGGAAGGCAGUAAUGAUCUACACUGGGAGCAAGGUUGGAAGGAAAUCGGCAGCUCCUAUUUGCCAAGAGGCUCCUUCAAAGGCGGGGGGGGGGGGGGGAGAGGCGCUGCCAUGGGUGUGGCAGAUCCUGCAUUUCUUGGAGGCCAGAUCUGCUGCCCCUGUGGAUGCUGCUGCCCAAGGCAGUCAGCUCACCUUGCCUCAUGGGUCAGCCCUGCCUGUCACGGAUUGUUCCGCUGUGAUUCCUACACUGCAGGGAGUUGGACCAAAUGGCCGUUGUGUGUACCUUCCAGCCCUAGAAUUCUAUGAUUCUAGGACCAGAGGCAAAAGAGGGCAGAGCGAUGGAUUCAAUUCUAACCUUUGUACAUCACCCUGCUUUACAGGAGGUGUGAAUAAAUGACCCUCAGGGCCCUUUCCCAGUUCUAUGAUCUAAGCCUGGCAUAAAUCAGAGACUGUUCUGUAACAACAACAACAGCAGCAGCAGCAAGCGGCAAACAAAUAAGGGGUCCUUUGUAACCUCUCCCCCUGAAGGCCUUGGGAGAAGAUUUGUGCCAAAUUCAAGAGCUCUUGUCAAGGCUCAGACUGGGGGCUGUGUUGCACAGUGGUUAGAGUGUCAGACUAGCACUUGGGAGAUCAGAGUUUAGUUCCCUGCUUGACAAUGAAGCUCUUUGGGUGACCUUGGGCCACUCACAGGGUUGUUGUAGGGAUUAAAUUAAGAGGGGAAGAUCCGUGUACGCCGCCUUGAGCUCCUUGGAGGAAAAGGUGGGAAAUAAAGGUGGGAUGUGCAGUAAAUAAAUAAUAAUAAAUAAAUUCAACGUCUGCUUCCUGCUUAGAGUGGGAGUCAAGGAAGGGCUGCCCCAAGAUGAUCAUCAGGGCCUAAUGAAUUCAGUAAUGGCACCUUUGCCCCCGCUCUCACAUUUCCCCACUGCGCCUUCUCUGGAGAGCCUGGUGAGAAGGGCAGGCGGAGAGCCUCCAGGCCCAUUGUCAGCUCCAUCUGCAUUUAAUUGAGUUGAUUCAAGUCUCAUUGACUGGGGCUAAUUCCUACUAAGCUUCAUCAGGCCUGUGAUGCUUUGAACAAGACUCAGUGGCAGGCCGGCACCAUAAUUGAAUUUCUUGUCAUUGAAUCGGACUGCUCAGCUUCUUGCAAAAGGAGUCCAGCCAGCCAGCCAACGAGGCUCAAAGGAGCUCAUUGGGGUCUCAUUUAGUUGAGAAUCACCCUGCUUUGUGAGGGGAACAAUGCUGUCUAUGAGAAAACAGCCUCCCCCCUUUAUAAAUUCAUUCAUUUAUUUCAUAAAUAAACUCUGACACAACUGAAAUGUUUUUAGCAAGCACCAAAAGAGGACAGGGAAGGCACCUGCCUGAUAUCAAUAGGCAGGGAGUUCCAAAGUACAGGUUGUGCUUUUAUAAAUGUGGAACAGGUAUUAUUUGGCACAUGUAACAUUGCCAUUUCCACUGAUUUAUGUGGUUGAUUGGCCAUAUGUGGGGUAACAAUGCAUCACUACCUCCAGGAAGUCCUAGGGAUGUCAGAGAACUCAGAGGAAAAACAGAAGGUGGGAAUUGCAUAUAUUCAGUUACUCAUCCUGGGUUCGGAAUGCAAAACAAACCAGCAAAUACAGAAUCCGUUGCUGUUGCUUUCAUUCCAUUUAUGAUACAAUUACGCUUUCCCCUUCCCUCAUUUCCCCUGGUUUUCCUUUCUUUUGGAAUGAGUAGGGUGAAUUAACAUAGUGACAAUGUAACUGUACUCCACGCUUUAGUAAUUUCCAGGCGAGAUUAUUCUGGUGCACUCUACAUGGGAUGGCCCUUGAAGAUGACUCAGAAACUUCAGUUGGUCCAAAAUGUAACUGCUUACUGGAGUUCCAUUUACGUAGAUAUCGUAUAGACCUUGUUUUUUAAAAUUUGCAUUUGUUGCCAGUUUAUUUCCAGGCCCGACUGAAGGUUUUGAAAACCUGAAAUAUCUGCC
rnacentral:lncRNA from 1 species